CACUAGAAAGCUAAAACGGGACUAGCGUUAGCCUUUUAAGCUAAAAAUUGGUGAUUCCCAACCACCUCCAGUGA
rnacentral:tRNA from 7 species